AAAUUUUGGCGCCGUUGCCGGGGACCAACGGUUCGGUUUUAGGUCUUUUGUUAUGUUAGUGUGUGUUGUGUUUUGUCUCGUGUUGUGAGUGUGAUGUUUUGUUUUGUGUGUUCGUCAUUGUGUGUUGCAUUUAGGUAGCUUUAGUUGCAUAUUUUCAUUGCAUUCUUCUUUUCCCCUUUCUUUCUACAUGUCUACCUAUUUUGGCUAUGUGAGUAAUUCUUAUUCUGCCUGUGUCUAUGAUUCUCCUCCUG
rnacentral:lncRNA from 1 species